rnacentral:rRNA from 1 species
UACGGAAGGGGCAAGCGUUGUUCAGAAUCAUUGGGCGUAAAGGGCGCGCAGGGUGGCUCUGUAUGUCUGCCGUGAAAGCAUACAGCUCAACUGUAUUGUGUCGGUAGAAACUGCAGGACUUGAGGCUGGGAGGGGCUGGUGGAAUUCCCUGUGUAGCGGUGAAAUGCGUAGAGAUCGGGAGGAACAUCAGUGGCGAAGGCGG